GUUCGCAAAUUUGCGGGGAAAGGUGGUUGUCUGCCAAUACGCCUGUUACUGUGAAAAUGCUCCGUUUGAUUUAUUUUCUCUCUCCACUCAACUUUUCUAAAGACUUAACAGGAGAAGAGAUCAAAAACAUGCAUAUUUGAGCGAGACAGAGACAGACAGAGAGAGCGAGAGAAACAUAGAGAGAGAGAGAUGGCUAGAGGAAGAUUGAGCAAGAUGGAAGGAAGAGAGACCAGGGAAAGUACAGGCAAGGACACCUACCUUUUGUCAUUGACCCCUGACCUGUGUGUCUGGGCAUUGACUGUCUCUUCUCCCCUCAUGUCACUGGAGCUCCCUGUCAAUACUUACCUGGUUUAGACACCAUCCCUCAGCGCUGUGGUCAGAGAGUGGGGGAGACCAGAUGCACUGGAGCACCAGGAGAGGAAGAGGAGGAAGGUGGAGGGAGAGAGGGGGAGGGAGAAACAUAGAGAUGGGGAGCAGUGAAAGGGAUCAAGAUCGAGCAUGUUUAAAAAAAA